rnacentral:rRNA from 1 species
UUGACAUCCACGGAAUUUGGCAGAGAUGCCUAGUGCCUUCGGGAACCGUGAGACAGGUGCUGCAUGGCUGUCGUCAGCUCGUGUUGUGAAAUGUUGGGUUAAGUCCCGCAACGAGCGCAACCCUUAUCCUUUGUUGCCAGCGAUUCGGUCGGGAACUCAAAGGAGACUGCCGGUGAUAAACCGGAGGAAGGUGGGGAUGACGUCAAGUCAUCAUGGCCCUUACGGCCAGGGCUACACACGUGCUACAAUGGCGCAUACAAAGAGAAGCGACCUCGCGAGAGCAAGCGGACCUCAUAAAGUGCGUCGUAGUCCGGAUUGGAGUCUGCAACUCGACUCCAUGAAGUCGGAAUCGCUAGUAAUCGUAGAUCAGAAUGCUACGGUGAAUACGUUCCCGGGCCUUGUACACACCGCCCGUCACACCAUGGGAGUGGGUUGCAAAAGAAGUAGGUAGCUUAACCUUCGGGAGGGCGCUUACCACUUUGUGAUUCAUGACUGGGGUGAAGUCGUAACAAGGUAAGCGUAGAUGA